GAGAGGUCCGGGCUGUGCUGAGGCAAGCUGCAGGGGCUGGCAGGCUGCAGAGGGAGAGGGAGCCACAUGCAGUCCCUCUGAGCCCUAGUAAACUCUCCAUCACACAUUUUCUAUUGGGAAAAGCUAUGCUGAAUGCAAAAGACACAGAUCUCUGUGAAACAGAUUUGACUUUCAGAGGAAAGAAAAGCUUUCGGAUGAGGAGGAUCAUCACCAAACAAUUCAUGUCUUGCACGCUGAAGUGAGCAAUGCAAGUAACGUGCAUAGGAAGCCCAGAGUGCUUUGAAAUUGGAAUAGCAGAGUGUGAGUGGAAGUGCAUUGUGGAUUACUGUGGGGCACGAAUCUGUGACCAGAAGAUCAUGCCAAGAGUUUGCUGGUGUAGCGUGGAAGCAUAACGGAGCCCUCCAGACUGCUGAGGAUUUGUCAGAAGGGGGGUUAUUGCCUUCAGGAUGUUUGAGCCCGGCAAUGAGGGUCUAUCAGGCCCCUGAAUCAGAAGAAACAACAGUGUCAGAACUUAAUAACAACAUACAGGUAAAUCUGAGGUCAUCUGAUUAAAUGGAAAACCUUCACCCCCAAAUUUGGC